rnacentral:rRNA from 1 species
AGAGUUUGAUCAUGGCUCAGAAUCAACGCUGGCGGCGCGCUUAACACAUGCAAGUCGAACGAGAAAGGGGAGCAAUCCCUGAGUAAAGUGGCGUACGGGUGAGUAACACGUGGGUAAUCUACCUCUGGGUGGGGAAUAACCCUGGGAAACCGGGGCUAAUACCGCAUAACACUGCAAGGUCAAAGGCGCAAGUCGCCUGGAGAGGAGCCCGCGGCUGAUUAGCUAGUUGGUGGGGUAAAGGCUCACCAAGGCAAUGAUCGGUAGCCGGCCUGAGAGGGCACACGGCCACACUGGCACUGAAACACGGGCCAGACUCCUACGGGAGGCAGCAGUGGGGAAUCUUGCACAAUGGGGGAAACCCUGAUGCAGCGACGCCGCGUGAGCGAUGACGCCCUUCGGGGUGUAAAGCUCUUUCGGCAGGGACGAUAAUGACGGUACCUAAUAAGAG